GGUUAAGCGACUAAGCGUACACGGUGGAUGCCCUGGCAGUCAGAGGCGAUGAAGGACGUGCUAAUCUGCGAUAAGCGUCGGUAAGGUGAUAUGAACCGUUAUAACCGGCGAUUUCCGAAUGGGGAAACCCAGUGUGUUUCGACACACUAUCAUUAACUGAAUCCAUAGGUUAAUGAGGCGAACCGGGGGAACUGAAACAUCUAAGUACCCCGAGGAAAAGAAAUCAACCGAGAUUCCCCCAGUAGCGGCGAGCGAACGGGGAGGAGCCCAGAGCCUGAAUCAGUGUGUGUGUUAGUGGAAGCGUCUGGAAAGGCGCGCGAUACAGGGUGACAGCCCCGUACACAAAAAUGCACAUGCUGUGAGCUCGAUGAGUAGGGCGGGACACGUGGUAUCCUGUCUGAAUAUGGGGGGACCAUCCUCCAAGGCUAAAUACUCCUGACUGACCGAUAGUGAACCAGUACCGUGAGGGAAAGGCGAAAAGAACCCCGGCGAGGGGAGUGAAAAAGAACCUGAAACCGUGUACGUACAAGCAGUGGGAGCACGCUUAGGCGUGUGACUGCGUACCUUUUGUAUAAUGGGUCAGCGACUUAUAUUCUGUAGCAAGGUUAACCGAAUAGGGGAGCCGAAGGGAAACCGAGUCUUAACUGGGCGUUAAGUUGCAGGGUAUAGACCCGAAACCCGGUGAUCUAGCCAUGGGCAGGUUGAAGGUUGGGUAACACUAACUGGAGGACCGAACCGACUAAUGUUGAAAAAUUAGCGGAUGACUUGUGGCUGGGGGUGAAAGGCCAAUCAAACCGGGAGAUAGCUGGUUCUCCCCGAAAGCUAUUUAGGUAGCGCCUCGUGAAUUCAUCUCCGGGGGUAGAGCACUGUUUCGGCAAGGGGGUCAUCCCGACUUACCAACCCGAUGCAAACUGCGAAUACCGGAGAAUGUUAUCACGGGAGACACACGGCGGGUGCUAACGUCCGUCGUGAAGAGGGAAACAACCCAGACCGCCAGCUAAGGUCCCAAAGUCAUGGUUAAGUGGGAAACGAUGUGGGAAGGCCCAGACAGCCAGGAUGUUGGCUUAGAAGCAGCCAUCAUUUAAAGAAAGCGUAAUAGCUCACUGGUCGAGUCGGCCUGCGCGGAAGAUGUAACGGGGCUAAACCAUGCACCGAAGCUGCGGCAGCGACGCUGAUGCGUUGUUGGGUAGGGGAGCGUUCUGUAAGCCUGCGAAGGUGUGCUGUGAGGCAUGCUGGAGGUAUCAGAAGUGCGAAUGCUGACAUAAGUAACGAUAAAGCGGGUGAAAAGCCCGCUCGCCGGAAGACCAAGGGUUCCUGUCCAACGUUAAUCGGGGCAGGGUGAGUCGACCCCUAAGGCGAGGCCGAAAGGCGUAGUCGAUGGGAAACAGGUUAAUAUUCCUGUACUUGGUGUUACUGCGAAGGGGGGACGGAGAAGGCUAUGUUGGCCGGGCGACGGUUGUCCCGGUUUAAGCGUGUAGGCUGGUUUUCCAGGCAAAUCCGGAAAAUCAAGGCUGAGGCGUGAUGACGAGGCACUACGGUGCUGAAGCAACAAAUGCCCUGCUUCCAGGAAAAGCCUCUAAGCAUCAGGUAACAUCAAAUCGUACCCCAAACCGACACAGGUGGUCAGGUAGAGAAUACCAAGGCGCUUGAGAGAACUCGGGUGAAGGAACUAGGCAAAAUGGUGCCGUAACUUCGGGAGAAGGCACGCUGAUAUGUAGGUGAAGUCCCUCGCGGAUGGAGCUGAAAUCAGUCGAAGAUACCAGCUGGCUGCAACUGUUUAUUAAAAACACAGCACUGUGCAAACACGAAAGUGGACGUAUACGGUGUGACGCCUGCCCGGUGCCGGAAGGUUAAUUGAUGGGGUUAGCGCAAGCGAAGCUCUUGAUCGAAGCCCCGGUAAACGGCGGCCGUAACUAUAACGGUCCUAAGGUAGCGAAAUUCCUUGUCGGGUAAGUUCCGACCUGCACGAAUGGCGUAAUGAUGGCCAGGCUGUCUCCACCCGAGACUCAGUGAAAUUGAACUCGCUGUGAAGAUGCAGUGUACCCGCGGCAAGACGGAAAGACCCCGUGAACCUUUACUAUAGCUUGACACUGAACAUUGAGCCUUGAUGUGUAGGAUAGGUGGGAGGCUUUGAAGUGUGGACGCCAGUCUGCAUGGAGCCGACCUUGAAAUACCACCCUUUAAUGUUUGAUGUUCUAACGUGGACCCGUAAUCCGGGUUGCGGACAGUGUCUGGUGGGUAGUUUGACUGGGGCGGUCUCCUCCUAAAGAGUAACGGAGGAGCACGAAGGUUGGCUAAUCCUGGUCGGACAUCAGGAGGUUAGUGCAAUGGCAUAAGCCAGCUUGACUGCGAGCGUGACGGCGCGAGCAGGUGCGAAAGCAGGUCAUAGUGAUCCGGUGGUUCUGAAUGGAAGGGCCAUCGCUCAACGGAUAAAAGGUACUCCGGGGAUAACAGGCUGAUACCGCCCAAGAGUUCAUAUCGACGGCGGUGUUUGGCACCUCGAUGUCGGCUCAUCACAUCCUGGGGCUGAAGUAGGUCCCAAGGGUAUGGCUGUUCGCCAUUUAAAGUGGUACGCGAGCUGGGUUUAGAACGUCGUGAGACAGUUCGGUCCCUA
rnacentral:rRNA from 1 species